UUGUUGCUUCCCUCCAGGACAUAUAUGGCACAGAGUAGGCCAGGGUUCUGGGUUUGCUGCUGUGGGAUCAGUUCACUCCCUCUCCUACCCAGAGGUGCCUGCUUGGGAGCUGUGGACUUUGGGGGCAGGAACACCCACUCCCGGUACCUUGACAAUCAUCCCCUUUCUCUUCUGGGUCUCAACCUUGCUGCCUGUCCUGCACCCUGGCCUGUCCUCUGGAGGUUAUCUGAUGAGGGCCUACUCUGAGGCAUCUUCCCCUGCAUCUUACCUCACCCCUCCAGCUCCCGCUUUACCAUGAGCCCAUGGAGACAUGAGUCCUAGGAGAGCUCUUUCUCUGGUCUCUCUUACAGCAAGAAGUACCUGUGGGCACACCUGGAGCAUAGGCCUUGAUGUUUGCAGUGCUCUGGGCAAAAGAACAAAUGGAGGUCCACAGACCAGAAUCUAAAUAUUAAACCACCAUAAAUCAAGCUGCCAAUAAAAUGUGUUCUAUCCUCCCACUGAACAAAUAAGCUUUCAUAGCAGUAAAACAUCCAUAAAUCUAUGGGGGUUUUUUUAUGUCUAAAAGUCAGCAUAUACCCAAAAUGAUGAAAUGUAAUGAUUAUCACUUAUGUCCAGGUGUUCAGUGACCUGAGGUCUAAGUGAGAAUAGAGGCUUGCCUGGUUCCUCCCACCUUAGCCUCCCAAGUAGCUGGGACAACAUGUGUGUGCCACCACACUCCGCUAAUU